GAUGAACGCUGGCGGCGUGCCUAAUACAUGCAAGUCGAGCGAACAGAUGAGGAGCUUGCUUCUCUGACGUUAGCGGCGGACGGGUGAGUAACACGUGGAUAACCUACCUAUAAGACUGGGAUAACUUCGGGAAACCGGAGCUAAUACCGGAUAAUAUAUUGAACCGCAUGGUUCAAUAGUGAAAGACGGUUUUGCUGUCACUUAUAGAUGGAUCCGCGCCGCAUUAGCUAGUUGGUAAGGUAACGGCUUACCAAGGCAACGAUGCGUAGCCGACCUGAGAGGGUGAUAGGCCACACUGGAACUGAGAAACGGUCCAGACUCCUACGGGAGGCAGCAGUAGGGAAUCUUCCGCAAUGGGCGAAAGCCUGACGGAGCAACGCCGCGUGAGUGAUGAAGGUCUUCGGAUCGUAAAACUCUGUUAUUAGGGAAGAACAAAUGUGUAAGUAACUAUGCACGUCUUGACGGUACCUAAUCAGAAAGCCACGGCUAACUACGUG
rnacentral:rRNA from 1 species